UGAGGGCCCUCUGGGUCCAACCUCCCACCCGUGUUUAUUAUACCUUGUUGCUUCGGCGGGCCCGCCGUCAGGCCGCCGGGGGGCUUCUGCCCCCGGGCCCGCGCCCGCCGAAGACAUCUCGAACUCUGUCUGAAGAUUGUAGUCUGAGUAUAAAUAUAAAUUAUUUAAAACUUUCAACAACGGAUCUCUUGGUUCCGGCAUCGAUGAAGAACGCAGCGAAAUGCGAUACGUAAUGUGAAUUGCAGAAUUCAGUGAAUCAUCGAGUCUUUGAACGCACAUUGCGCCCUCUGGUAUUCCGGAGGGCAUGCCUGUCCGAGCGUCAUUGCUGCCCUCAAGCACGGCUUGUGUGUUGGGCCCCGUCCUCCGAUCCCGGGGGACGGGCCCGAAAGGCAGCGGCGGCACCGCGUCCGGUCCUCGAGCGUAUGGGGCUUUGUCACCCGCUCUGUAGGCCCGGCCGGCGCUUGCCGAUCAACCAAAUUUUUAUCCAGGUUGACCUCGGAUCAGGUAGGGAUACCCGCUGAACUUAA
rnacentral:rRNA from 1 species